rnacentral:rRNA from 1 species
UACAGAGGGGGCAAGCGUUGUUCGGAAUUACUGGGCGUAAAGGGCGCGUAGGCGGCCUGCUAAGUCGAACGUGAAAUCCCUGGGCUCAACCCAGGAACUGCGUCCGAUACUGGUUGGCUUGAAUCCGGGAGAGGGAUGCAGAAUUCCAGGUGUAGCGGUGAAAUGCGUAGAUAUCUGGAGGAAUACCGGUGGCGAAGGCGGCCAGCUGGGCCGUCCCUGACGCUGAGGCGCGAAGGCGUGGGAGCGAACGGG